UGGGGAAUUUUGGACAAUGGGCGAAAGCCUGAUCCAGCAAUGCCGCGUGUGUGAAGAAGGCCUUCGGGUUGUAAAGCACUUUUGUCCGGAAAGAAAUCCUUGGCUCUAAUACAGUCGGGGGAUGACGGUACCGGAAGAAUAAGCACCGGCUAACUACGUGCCAGCAGCCGCGGUAAUACGUAGGGUGCAAGCGUUAAUCGGAAUUACUGGGCGUAAAGCGUGCGCAGGCGGUUUGCUAAGACCGAUGUGAAAUCCCCGGGCUCAACCUGGGAACUGCAUUGGUGACUGGCAGGCUAGAGUAUGGCAGAGGGGGGUAGAAUUCCUACGUGUAGCAGUGAAAUGCGUAGAGAUGUGGAGGAAUACCGAUGGCGAAGGCAGCCCCCUGGGCCAAUACUGACGCUCAUGCACGAAAGCGUGGGGAGCAAACAGGAUUAGAUACCCUGGUAGUCCACGCCCUAAACGAUGUCAACUAGUUGUUGGGGAUUCAUUUCCUUAGUAACGUAGCUAACGCGUGAAGUUGACCGCCUGGGGAGUACGGUCGCAAGAUUAAAACUUAAAUGAAUUGACGGGGUCAUAGCUGUUUCCU
rnacentral:rRNA from 1 species